GACGAACGCUGGCGGCGUGCUUAACACAUGCAAGUCGAACGGAAAGGCCCCCACCUUGGUGGGGGUGCUCGAGUGGCGAACGGGUGAGUAACACGUGGGUGAUCUGCCCUGUACUUCGGGAUAAGCUUGGGAAACUGGGUCUAAUACCGGAUAGGACCAUGGUUUAGUGUCUCAUGGUGGAAAGAUUAUUGUUUUGGUGCAGGAUGAGCUCGCGGCCUAUCAGCUUGUUGGUGGGGUAAUGGCCUACCAAGGCGUCGACGGGUAGCCGGCCUGAGAGGGUGGACGGCCACAUUGGGACUGAGAUACGGCCCAGACUCCUACGGGAGGCAGCAGUGGGGAAUAUUGCACAAUGGGCGCAAGCCUGAUGCAGCGACGCCGCGUGGGGGAUGACGGCCUUCGGGUUGUAAACUCCUUUCGUUAGGGACGAAGCCACAUUUUUUGGGUGUGGUGACGGUACCUUUGUUAAGAAGCACCGGCUAACUACGUGCCAGCAGCCGCGGUAAUACGUAGGGUGCGAGCGUUGUCCGGAAUUACUGGGCGUAAAGAGCUCGUAGGUGGUUUGUUGCGUCGUCUGUGAAAUUCCGGGGCUUAACUUCGGGGUGGCAGGCGAUACGGGCAUAACUAGAGUGCUGUAGGGGAGACUGGAAUUCCUGGUGUAGCGGUGGAAUGCGCAGAUAUCAGGAGGAACACCGAUGGCGAAGGCAGGUCUCUGGGCAGUAACUGACGCUGAGGAGCGAAAGCAUGGGGAGCGAACAGGAUUAGAUACCCUGGUAGUCCAUGCUGUAAACGGUGGGCGUUAGGUGUGGGGACCGGUUUGGUUUCUGUGCCGUAGCUAACGCAUUAAGCGCCCCGCCUGGGGAGUACGGCCGCAAGGCUAAAACUCAAAGGAAUUGACGGGGGCCCGCACAGGCGGCGGAGCAUGUGGAUUAAUUCGAUGCAACGCGAAGAACCUUACCUGGGUUUGACAUGCACCAGACGGUUGUAGAGAUACGUACCUCCCUUUGUGGUUGGUGUGCAGGUGGUGCAUGGUUGUCGUCAGCUCGUGUCGUGAGAUGUUGGGUUAAGUCCCGCAACGAGCGCAACCCUUGUCUUAUGUUGCCAGCACUUUGGGUGGGGACUCAUGAGAGACUGCCGGGGUUAACUCGGAGGAAGGUGGGGAUGACGUCAAAUCAUCAUGCCCUUUAUGCCCAGGGCUUCACACAUGCUACAAUGGUUAGUACAACGCGCUGCGAACCUGUGAGGGUGAGCGAAUCGCUGAAAGCUAAUCUCAGUUCGGAUUGGGGUCUGCAACUCGACCCCAUGAAGGCGGAGUCGCUAGUAAUCGCAGAUCAGCAAUGCUGCGGUGAAUACGUUCCCGGGCCU
rnacentral:rRNA from 1 species